UACGAAGGGAGCUAGCGUUGUUCGGAAUCACUGGGCGUAAAGGGCGCGUAGGCGGCUUUAUAAGUCGGGGGUGAAAGCCUGUGGCUCAACCACAGAAUUGCCUUCGAUACUGUAGAGCUUGAGACCGGAAGAGGUAAGUGGAACUGCGAGUGUAGAGGUGAAAUUCGUAGAUAUUCGCAAGAACACCAGUGGCGAAGGCGGCUUACUGGUCCGGUUCUGACGCUGAGGCGCGAAAGCGUGGGGAGCAAACAGG
rnacentral:rRNA from 1 species